GAUAAACGCUGGCGGCGUGCCUUACGCAUGCAAGUCGAACGGUGUCCUUCGGGCGACAGUGGCGGACGGGUGAGUAACACGUACGUGACCUGACGCGAAGCGGGGGAGUACCCGUCCGAAAGGGCGGCUAAUACCGCAUGUGGUCAUCGGGGAUGCCCGGUGAGUAAAGGGCUUUCGGGCUCACUUCGUGAGGGGCGUGCGGCCGAUUAGCUUGUUGGUGGGGGUAACGGCCUACCAAGGCGACGAUCGGUAGCNGGGCUGAGAGGCCGGACAGCCACACUGGGA
rnacentral:rRNA from 1 species